rnacentral:rRNA from 1 species
UACGUAGGAGGCGAGCGUUGUCCGGAGUUACUGGGCGUAAAGGGUGCGCAGGUGGCCGCGCGCGUGGGGGGUGAAAUCGCCUGGCUUAACUGGGCGGGGGCCUUCCAGACGGCGUGGCUUGAGCAGCGGAGGGGGGCGUGGAAUUCCGGGUGGAGCGGUGAAAUGCGUAGAGAUCCGGAGGAACACCGACGGCGCAGGCAGCGCCCUGGUCGCUUGCUGACACUGAGGCACGAAAGCUGGGGGAGCAAACAGG